ACCGGACCUUGGUGCGCUGCACCAAGCUUCCCGCUCGGAGCAAGGGGUUGGGACGACGGAGGCUCCUCUUAGUAAAAGGCUUGGACGAACCUUGACAGGAUGGGUGCAGCGAACUUUCCAGAGCACCCAGGCAGCUACGGCUUCCUCCCGGAACUCCUGUGCAGCUGACGACAAAGCCACUGAGCCUCUGCCCAAGGACUGCCCUGUCUCUUCUUACAACGAAUGGGACCCCUUAGAGGAAGUGAUAGUGGGCAGAGCAGAAAACGCCUGUGUUCCACCGUUCACCAUCGAGGUGAAGGCCAACACAUAUGAAAAGUACUGGCCAUUUUACCAGAAGCAAGGAGGGCAUUAUUUUCCCAAAGAUCAUUUGAAAAAGGCUGUUGCUGAAAUUGAAGAAAUGUGCAAUAUUUUAAAAACGGAAGGAGUGACAGUAAGGAGGCCUGACCCCAUUGACUGGUCAUUGAAGUAUAAAACUCCUGAUUUUGAGUCUACG
rnacentral:lncRNA from 1 species